UUCACUGUGAACCAAUUUUAAUGAGAGAACUUCUUUCCCUUGUUACUUCCGACACCAUGACGAGCAACAACAACUUUUCUUUUCUUUUUUGUUGCUAAAUUUUGUAAAGAAGCAAAAUGAAAUAAACCUAAAACCCAUAUUUGAGCUUGCUCUUCUUACUCUUUCUAUUCUCUUGGCUCUGGAAAUUAGAUUACCGAAACAAUAAAUAUUUGAUUUGGAUUAUGCUUCGCCUGGCCUAAAUCAGCAAUACAGAUUACGAAAGGAACUGGAAGUAGUAAGAUAGAUUGAGCGGGCAAGCUUUGGAAGCUUGAAGUGUUAGUAUUUUUUUCUAUUGUUUAUGAUAUGUGUAUCACGGGAUCUGUCUGGGGUAUUUGCAUACCGUUAAUGACUUACAUUUUGCUGUAUAUAUAUAUAUAUAUAUAUACACACAUUACUGGUUGGGUGCGUAUGAGAUUCAACAUGGAACCUUUGUUUUGGAAAAAUGUAACUGUAUAAGCAUGUCCUCUUGUAUGUAUUUCCCUUUCUA